GGGCGGGGGUGGUCUGUCCAGUGAUUCAGCCACAUGUGAUAGAUGACCAAGUGACUGCUUUCUUGGAGUCCGCACACCAGUGGAAGACUCUCAAAGUGGUUGUGACCGACUUGAUCAAACUCUAGGCUUCCUGAACUGGAAUGAAAUGCAGAUAACUCUUUAGAAAACUUUUGUAGGAAAAGCGCCUCGUGUGAUCUGGAACAAAGACGUUUUAUAAUCAGAUUUAUCAAGCUGCGAAGAGGGAGUUUUAGUGAACGGAAGCAGCAGCAUUCUGUCACCAGGAAAUACUCCUUUAUCCAGAAUUGAGCCCCUCCCCAGAAGGCAAAGGAUCACCCAGCUGCUGGAAGGUGAGGUAUAAACCAGUGGAGUUUAUCAUUGAAUAGAGUGCAGAGAAAGGACCGCAAGAAAGCUGAUCACCUCAGCAAUGAAUGAUUUCAAUACGAUUUCACCCAAAUGGUCUCACACACCAGCCUAGUAAACCAGAGAUAAGGUGUAAUGUCAUCCUUCCUUCCUUCUCCCUGCCUCAACUGUCAAAGAUUGACAACUUACAUGUUGUUUACUUUUUGGCUUCUAUUUCUGUUCAUAAUUAUUAUCAGAAGGCAUAGCACCCACAAGCCUAAUCAUACUGCCUUACAACCUUAUUCCUCUUCAUUUUGUCUUCUCACUUACCUGCAGAAACCCAGUUUAUUUUUGUUCUCCCUUUACCACACCAGCCUUGUAACUGUUAUGAAUGACCCUCAAUCUCACUGGAAUCUGAAUCACUCAGGAAUUCAAGCAAACUGGAUGUUUUAACCACUGUUCAGCUUUCUUAUGGAAUGACAGAGAACUUGUAAAGAUAAAACACCAGUUUGCAGGAAGAAAGGAAGAGAAUGGAAAUUGCUUCUGGAAAAUACUAGUUUUACAAUAUGUUUUGUUUGUCUGCUCUCUUAAAUAAACUUAAUCCUAUAAACAUUUUUUAAGAACUAGCCAUUAAGACUGUUAAGUUCUCAAUUAUAAAGGAAUAAAAUGUUUUAAGGAGGAUUUAUUUGCCCUUGCUUAUAUGAACUGCAUAUUUUUAGUAGGAAAUCAUGUAAUUUAAAUUAGUAUUGGUUAACAGAUUUAACGUAGAAAAUGGACAUAUAAAGAAUACAAGGAUAAAUGUCUACAUGUAAUAAUGGAUGGUAGUGAUAUAAUGCAUUUUUGUCAUCCCAUGCUGAAUUCAGUAAAAAUAAAGCUAAUGACUUGGAGCUUUUAAAAGAUUG
rnacentral:lncRNA from 1 species